UGAGUUUUGCCUUGACUUCCCUUGGUGUC
rnacentral:piRNA from 1 species